GAACGCUGGCGGCAGGCCUAACACAUGCAAGUCGAGCGGUAGGAGAGGUGCUUGCAUCUCUUGAGAGCGGCGGACGGGUGAGUAAUGCCUAGGAAUCUGCCUAGUGGUGGGGAGUAACGUUCGGAAACGGACGCUAAUACCGCAUACGUCCUACGGGAGAAAGCCGGGGGAUCUUCGGACCUCGCGCCAUUAGAUGAGCCUAGUCGGAUUAGCUAGUUGGUGAGGUAAUGGCUCACCAAGGCGACGAUCCGUAACUGGUCUGAGAGGAUGAUCAGUCACACUGGAACUGAGACACGGUCCAGACUCCUACGGGAGGCAGCAGUGAGGAAUAUUGGACAAUGGGCGCAAGCCUGAUCCAGCCAUGCCGCGUGCAGGAAGAAGCAUCUAUGGUGUGUAAACUGCUUUUGUACGGGAAGAAACACUCCUACGUGUAGGAGCUUGACGGUACCGUAAGAAUAAGGAUCGGCUAACUCCGUG
rnacentral:rRNA from 1 species